UGAACAGAGGAUUUGUGAGCCUUCAA
rnacentral:piRNA from 1 species